rnacentral:rRNA from 1 species
UACAGAGGGCUCAAGCGUUGUUCGGAUUCAUUGGGCGUAAAGGGUGCGUAGGUGGCGCCGUAAGUCAGGUGUGAAAUUUCGGAGCUUAACUCCGAAACUGCAUUUGAUACUGCGGUGCUUGAGGACUGGAGAGGAGACUGGAAUUCACGGUGUAGCAGUGAAAUGCGUAGAUAUCGUGAGGAAGACCAGUGGCGAAGGCGGGUCUCUGGACAGUUACUGACGCUGAGGCACGAAAGCCAGGGGAGCAAACGGG